CGCAUCUGUGCAUGCAGCAUAUCAAUAAGCGGAGGAAAAGAAACUAACAAGGAUUCCCCUAGUAACGGCGAGUGAAGCGGGAAGAGCUCAAAUUUGAAAUCUUAAAGGGUUUCCCUUUACGAAUUGUAGUUUAAAGAAGUGUUUUCUGUUGAGGUUUUGGUAAAAGUUCUUUGGAAUAGGACAUCAUAGAGGGUGAGAAUCCCGUAUUUGACCUUUACUUUCAACUUUGUGAUACACUUUCAAAGAGUCGGAUUGUUUGGGAAUGCAGUCCAAAAUGGGUGGUAAAUUUCAUCUAAAGCUAAAUAUUGGCGAGAGACCGAUAGCGAACAAGUACCGUGAGGGAAAGAUGAAAAGAACUUUGAAAAGAGAGCUAAACAGUACGUGAAAUUGUCAAAAGGGAAGCGUUUGACACCAGUGUUGUUUUUCUGAAAAUCAAUUAAAGAACUGUUUAUGCUAAGUUGUUUAGACUUUAUCAGCUAAUCUGUUUCAGUUUUGAGCUUUUCUUUAAUGCACUUUUCAGUUAACAAGUCAACAUCAAUUUCUUUUGCUGUAAAAAAGCUUGAGGAAGGUGGCUUGAGAUUCGUCUUAAGUGUUUAUAGCCUCUUGCCUAGUGCAGUCGGAGAGAUUGAGGUCUGCAGCGUAGAUCCUUCGGGGCUAAAUGCAUUUGAUGCUAAGUUAUAGCAUUUUAUAGACAACUUGUUGACUAUGAUUUGUCUUGUAGCUUACUCGCUUAUGUUAUUUUACCUACGCUUAGGAUGUUGAACGCGCACAGAGUCUC
rnacentral:rRNA from 1 species